AUCAUUAAGUUCUAAUGUUACAUACAUCUAAAAAUAAAAAGAACAACUAAGAUAAGAAAGUUCGUCUCUUUGUUACACUCUCAACCUUCUUCUUCAUUCUCUCAAAAAGAAUUUGUUUUUCCUCAUACCCUCGCCCAGUGCUUCUAAGUUCUUAUUGCCAACUAUCCUUUUCUUAUUGCAUCUUUCUAUUUAUUAUUGCUCAUUAACCCGACUAGAUUGUGAUGCUGUUUCUUUGACUGUCUUCAAUGAAUUUUGAAAUGGUAGUUUUAUUUCUUCAACUCUCUUCUUAAGCCAAGACCGGUAUGUGUUCCUUCUAUUUCCAGUAAAACGUAGCUUAUUCCCUUUCCUAAUCACAUUCUUCCAGCAAUUUUGGAUUGUUCUUAAUGUUUCAAUAUUCUCUAUGUCUAAGUCACAAACAACAAGUGGGGUUAGCAAACUUGGUUCAGGUUCUUUUACAAUAGGAAUGCCAAG
rnacentral:lncRNA from 1 species